GAAAUGCGAUAAGUAAUGUGAAUUGCAGAAUUCAGUGAAUCAUCGAAUCUUUGAACGCACAUUGCGCCCGCCAGCACUCUGGCGGGCAUGCCUGUUCGAGCGUCAUUGCUGCCCUUCAAGCCCGGCUUGUGUGUUGGGUCGUCGUCCCCUCCGGGGGACGGGCCCGAAAGGCAGCGGCGGCACCGCGUCCGGUCCUCGAGCGUAUGGGGCUUUGUCACCCGCUCGAUAAGGACCGGCCGGGCGCCAGCCGGCGUCUCCAACCUUUUUUUCUCAGGUUGACCUCGGAUCAGGUAGGGAUACCCGCUGAACUUAAGC
rnacentral:misc_RNA from 1 species